rnacentral:rRNA from 1 species
ACUCACGCCUGUUGAAAAAGUCGGAGAUGACCUGUGGCUAGGGGUGAAAGGCCAAUCAAAUCAGGAAAUAGCUGGUUCUCCGCGAAAGCUAUUUAGGUAGCGCGUCGGACGAUUACCCACGGGGGUAGAGCACUGGAUGGGCUAGGGGGCCUCACCGCUUACCAAACCUAACCAAACUCCGAAUACCGUGGAGUACAGUCCGGCAGACAGACGGUCGGUGCUAAGGUCGAUCGUCAAGAGGGAAACAGCCCAGACCGCCAGCUAAGGUCCCCAAGUCGUGGCUAAGUGGGAAAGGAUGUAGGACGACCAAGACAACCAGGAGGUUGGCUUAGAAGCAGCCAUCCUUUAAAGAAAGCGUAAUAGCUCACUGGUCUAGUUUAAGCCGGCCCGCGCCGAAAAUGUAACGGGGCUCAAGCCACCCACCGAAGCUGCGGAUGGCAGGAUUUAUCCUGCCGUGGUAGCGGAGCGUUCCGUAAGCCUGCGAAGGAUGCCCGUGAGGUCAUCUGGAGGUAUCGGAAGUGAGAAUGCUGACAUGAGUAGCGACAAAGAGUGUGAGAAACACUCUCGCCGGAAGUCCAAGGGUUCCUGCGCACGGUUAAUCCGCGCAGGGUGAGCCGGCCCCUAAGGCGAGGCCGAAAGGCGUAGUCGAUGGGAACCUGGUUAAUAUUCCAGGGCCUGGCGGUGGUGACGAAGGCUGAAGUCUGUAUCCGCUUAACGGAUUGCGGGUGCAGUGGAGGCCUUCCAGGAAACAGCCCCAGCGUAUAGACCGUACCCCAAACCGACACAGGUGGACAGGUAGAGCAUACCCAGGCGCUUGAGAGAAUGGUGUUGAAGGAACUCGGCAAAUUACCCUCGUAACUUCGGGAGAAGAGGGCCCCGUUCCCGGGCAACCGGGGGCGGGGGGCACAGACCAGGGGGUGGCGACUGUUUACUAAAAACACAGGGCUCUGCGAAGUCUGGCAUGACGACGUAUAGGGUCUGACGCCUGCCCGGUGCCGGAAGGUUAAAGGGAGGGGUGCGAGCUCCGAACUGAAGCCCCGGUAAACGGCGGCCGUAACUAUAACGGUCCUAAGGUAGCGAAAUUCCUUGUCGGGUAAGUUCCGACCUGCACGAAUGGCGUAACGACUUCCCCGCUGUCUCCAACACCAACUCAGCGAAAUUGAAUUCUCCGUGAAGAUGCGGAGUACCCGCGGUCAGACGGAAAGACCCCGUGCACCUUUACUCCAGCUUUGCAGUGGUGCCAGGGUUCCCAUGUGUAGGAUAGGUGGGAGGCUAUGAAGCCCGGGCGCCAGCUCGGGUGGAGCCGUCCUUGAAAUACCACCCUUGGGAUCUCUGGCAUCUAACCGCGCGCCCUGAAGCGGGCGCCGGGACCCUGCAUGGCGGGGAGUUUGACUGGGGCGGUCGCCUCCCAAAGAGUAACGGAGGCGCGCGAUGGUUGGCUCAGAGCGGUCGGAAAUCGCUCGACGAGUGCAAUGGCAUAAGCCAGCCUGACUGCGAGACCGACAAGUCGAGCAGAGACGAAAGUCGGCCAUAGUGAUCCGGUGGUCCCGCGUGGAAGGGCCAUCGCUCAACGGAUAAAAGGUACGCCGGGGAUAACAGGCUGAUCUCCCCCAAGAGUCCACAUCGACGGGGAGGUUUGGCACCUCGAUGUCGGCUCAUCACAUCCUGGGGCUGGAGCAGGUCCCAAGGGUUCGGCUGUUCGCCGAUUAAAGUGGUACGUGAGCUGGGUUUAGAACGUCGUGAGACAGUUCGGUCCCUAUCUGCCGUGGGUGUCGGAGUGUUGAGAGGCGCUGUCCCUAGUACGAGAGGACCGGGAUGGACGCACCUCUGGUGGACCGGUUGUGGCGCCAGCCGCAUCGCCGGGUAGCUAAGUGCGGACGGGAUAACCGCUGAAAGCAUCUAAGCGGGAAACCCCCCUCAAAACAAACACUCCCCGAGAGCCGGGACAGACCAUCCCGUCGAUAGGAGGCGUGUGGAAGCGCGGCAACGCGUGAAGCUAAGCCUUACUAAUCGCUCGAUCGGCUUGAUCUC